UGGGGAAUAUUGGACAAUGGGCGAAAGCCUGAUCCAGCCAUGCCGCGUGUGUGAAGAAGGUCUUCGGAUUGUAAAGCACUUUAAGUUGGGAGGAAGGGCAGUAAGCGAAUACCUUGCCGUUUUGACGUUACCGACAGAAUAAGCACCGGCUAACUCUGUGCCAGCAGCCGCGGUAAUACAGAGGGUGCAAGCGUUAAUCGGAAUUACUGGGCGUAAAGCGCGCGUAGGUGGUUCGUUAAGUUGAAUGUGAAAGCCCCGGGCUCAACCUGGGAACUGCAUCCAAAACUGGCGGGCUAGAGUAGGGCAGAGGGUGGUGGAAUUUCCUGUGUAGCGGUGAAAUGCGUAGAUAUAGGAAGGAACACCAGUGGCGAAGGCGACCACCUGGGCUCAUACUGACACUGAGGUGCGAAAGCGUGGGGAGCAAACAGG
rnacentral:rRNA from 1 species